rnacentral:rRNA from 1 species
AGAGUUUGAUCAUGGCUCAGGACGAACGCUGGCGGCGUGCUUAACACAUGCAAGUCACGGGGGUCCGCAAGGACAACCGGCGAACGGGUGCGUAACACGUGAGGGACCUACCUGAAAAUGGGGGAUAGCCGGCCCAACGGCCGGGUAAUACCGCAUACGCUCUUUGGGCGGCAUCGCUUGAAGAGGAAACCUCCGGGGUUUUCAGCGGGCCUCGCGGCCUAUCAGCUAGUUGGCGGGGUAACGGCCCACCAAGGCGACGACGGGUAGCUGGUCUGAGAGGAUGGCCAGCCACAUUGGGACUGAGAGACGGCCCAGACUCCUACGGGAGGCAGCAGUGGGGAAUCUUGCGCAAUGGCCGAAAGGCUGACGCAGCGACGCCGCGUGUGGGAGGAAGCUCUUCGGGGUGUAAACCACUGUUGCCCGGGACGAACGAGCGAUUUAGAUCGCUGUGACGGUACCGGGUGAGGAAGCACCGGCUAACUCUGUGCCAGCCGCCGCGGUAAUAC